AUGCAUCCUUUAGUUUUAUGAACCUCUGUUCAUCUGUCUCUGCUCUUCUUGACUCAGAAUGUCAAAAUUGUUUGGCCUUUCGGGGACAAUCCAGCAAUCUCGCACCGGGCCAUCAUGUCUGAACAUACAGGGUAUGCAGGACUUGUAAAACAGCGGCGCGAUGCUGGCGCCCUGCCAGUCAAUUAUGCCGGUGAUUUGACACAUUGUAGGGCCAACAAAGACGUUAUAUAACAUAUUUAUGAGGUGGAGAUCAGGAUGCCAAAGAGCAUUUGCGAUAGCCUCAGAGUCAUUGUCGCUGGGAACCAAAAUGGGGGGCAACGCUCAGAUAUUUUGAAAGUAGGGCAAGAGCCUGAUCUGGGAACUCGGACUCCUUGAAAGACACAUCGAUCAAGGUUAUCAAAUUGCACCGAGGAGAACGACCCAACCAAGAGGGCAUUAUUUCUCUCUUUCAAAGCGGGGAAGUCUUGCUUGAAAUAAAGACGGCCAUGCUUGGUGAAUCUGGUGGUGAUGAGCGCCUGCUCAAUUGUUGACAACUUGCUCGAUUACUCGCAAUUUCGAUUUUCGCGGCCAGCUGUGCCAUAGGCCUCCCAGCCUCGUCCAAGGGGUUUUUCUCUUUGACGAUAGACUUUGCGCUAAUCGGGUUCACGGGGCCAUAGGACGAUGCAAACACUCGCGGGGCUGGCACAUUUACUACUUCGCGCAGCUAAGGGAAAUAAUGAAUGUGGUUAGAUUAGCAACUUAAUUGAAACGAAGACCCGAGGGAUGACUGACAAAUUCCUGUGUUGCAACCUUUGAAGCAGUUAGAUAUCGCGGAGGGCCAGCAUUGGGAUUUGGAAGUUUGGAAGUUUGGCAAUCACCUCGUUGCCAUUCUCCAUUGUCAGGGGCAAAGCUUUGUUAUGCAAUCCCUCCACACAUUUCAACACUUUUGUACUUGAAAGAAAAAUAAGUAAAAAGCUAUGUAUGAUGUAAAACUGUAAGGAGUGGGUGGGACUGAUAACUCUGUCUGUGCUCCAUCACUAGCAGCAUAAAUAGCGCCUUCAAUCAAUUUCUGAAGGUCAAACUUCCGACAACGACAUGAAAUUCCAUUUUCUUCAUUAAAGCUAUUUGUCAGGCC
rnacentral:sRNA from 2 species